rnacentral:rRNA from 1 species
UACGAAGGGGGCUAGCGUUGCUCGGAAUCACUGGGCGUAAAGCGCACGUAGGCGGAUUGUUAAGUCAGGGGUGAAAUCCUGGAGCUCAACUCCAGAACUGCCUUUGAUACUGAGAAGCUUGAGUCCGGGAGAGGUGAGUGGAACUGCGAGUGUAGAGGUGAAAUUCGUAGAUAUUCGCAAGAACACCAGUGGCGAAGGCGGCUCACUGGCCCGGUACUGACGCUGAGGUGCGAAAGCGUGGGGAGCGAACAGG